ACAGUGGUAAUUCAGUGGGAGACUUCUUGCCUUCUAUACAGGAGACCCAGAUUCGAUUCCUGGCCAAUGCA
rnacentral:tRNA from 1 species